rnacentral:rRNA from 1 species
UCAAGCGACUAAGUGUAUGUGGUGGAUGCCUUGGCGAUUACAGGCGAUGAAGGACGUCGCAGCCUGCGAAAAGCCGUGGGGAGCUGGCAAGCGAGCACUGAUCCACGGAUGUCCGAAUGAGGGAACUCACCCGCAAGGGUAUCUUGAAGUGAAUACAUAGCUUCAAGAGGCGAACGCAGCGAACUGAAACAUCUAAGUAGCUGCAGGAAAAGAAAUCAACCGAGAUUCUGAAAGUAGCGGCGAGCGAAAUUGGAAGAGCCUGCAAGUGAUAUUGAAUUCGAUACUGGAACGGUCUGGAAAGUCCGGCUACAGAGGGUGAUAGCCCCGUACGGGAAAUUGGGUUCAAGGUACUGAGCUUGCGAGAAGUAGAGCGGGACACGUGAAAUCCUGCUCGAAGAUGGGGGGACCAUCCUCCAAGGCUAAAUACUCGUAAUCGACCGAUAGCGAACCAGUACUGUGAAGGAAAGGCGAAAAGAACCCCGGGAGGGGAGUGAAAUAGAUCCUGAAACCGCAUACAUACAAACAGUAGGAGCCCGCAAGGGUGACUGCGUACCUUUUGCAUAAUGGGUCAGCGACUUACGUUCAAUGGCAAGCUUAACCGAGUAGGGGAGGCGCAGCGAAAGCGAGUCCGAACAGGGCGACAUGAGUCGUUGGGCGUAGACCCGAAACCAGAUGAUCUAUCCAUGGCCAGGCUGAAGGUGUGGUAACACACACUGGAGGGCCGAACCGACUAGUGUUGCAAAAUUAGCGGAUGAGCUGUGGAUAGGGGUGAAAGGCUAAACAAAUCUGGAGAUAGCUGGUUCUCCCCGAAAACUAUUGAGGUAGUGCCUCGUGUAUGGCUCCAGGGGGUAGAGCACUGUUAUGGCUAGGGGGACAUGGCGUCUUACCAAACCAUGGCAAACUCCGAAUACUUGGAAGUCUGAGCACGGGAGACAGAGCACCGGGUGCUAACGUCCGGACUCAAAAGGGAAACAACCCAGACCGCCGGCUAAGGUCCCUAAUAUUGACUAAGUGGAAAACGAAGUGGGAAGGCUAAGACAGUCAGGAAGUUGGCUUAGAAGCAGCCAUCCUUCAAAGAAAGCGUAAUAGCUCACUGAUCGAGUCUUCCUGCGCGGAAGAUGUAACGGGGCUAAGUCAAUAACCGAAGCCGCGGAUUCGCAGCAAUGCGAGUGGUAGGGGAGCGUUCUGUAAGCCUGCGAAGGCGGAUCUGCGAGGACCGCUGGAGGUAUCAGAAGUGCGAAUGCUGACAUGAGUAACGUUAAAGCGGGUGAAAAGCCCGCUCGCCGCAAGCCCAAGGUUUCCUGCUCUACGUUCAUCGGAGCAGGGUGAGUCGGCCCCUAAGGUCAGGCUGAGAAGCGUAGCUGAUGGGAAGCUGGUUAAUAUUCCAGCACCGAUUUCAAGUGCGAAGGGGGGACGGAGUCCUGAAGGUCAUCCGGGUGUUGGAUAUCCCGGUUUACGAGCGUAGGAGGUUGACAGGCAAAUCCGUCAACGGAUCUCCAAGGCGAAGGAUCGAGGUUGAGAGAUCAACUGAAGUGACUGAAUGGGCUUCCAGGAAAAGCCUCUAAGCAUCAGCUUGGAAUUGACCGUACCGCAAACCGACACUGGUGGGCGAGCUGAAUAUGCUCAGGCGCUUGAGAGAACUCAGGAGAAGGAACUCGGCAAAUUGACACCGUAACUUCGGGAUAAGGUGUGCCUUUGUAGUGUGAAGAGAGAAACACUCCGAGCAUGAAGAGGCCUCAGAGAAUCGGUGGCUGCAACUGUUUACUAAAAACACAGCACUCUGCAAAGAUGAAAGUCGACGUAUAGGGUGUGAUGCCUGCCCGGUGCUGGAAGAUUAAUUGAUGGGGUGCAAGCUCCUGAUCGAAGUCCCAGUAAACGGCGGCCGUAACUAUAACGGUCCUAAGGUAGCGAAAUUCCUUGUCGGG